GCUGCACCCCGUGAACAAUAUUGUUAACAAGUUGUUUAAUCAUCAGUACUGUUGCAAGUUGUUAACAUGAUUGUCAACAAGUUGCAACAAUGUUGAUGGUUCAACAACUUGUUAACAAUAUUGUUCACGGGGUGCAGC
rnacentral:miRNA from 1 species